rnacentral:rRNA from 1 species
GACAGAGGUCCCGAGCGUUAGGCGGAAUCACUGGGCUUAAAGCGUGUGUAGGCGGAUUGGUAAGUACCUUGUGAAAUCCCACGGCUUAACCGUGGAACUGCUUGGUAUACUGCUUAUCUUGGGCCACUUAGGGGUUACCGGAACAAACGGUGGAGCGGUGAAAUGCGUAGAUAUCGUUUGGAACGCCAAUGGUGAAAACAGGUAACUGGGAGUGUGCCGACGCUGAGACACGAAAGCCAGGGGAGCGAACGG